AUGGGAGAGCUGGGACCCCGCAUCACAGGCCUGGUGACAAAGCCACUCCUCCGUGUGGAGUUGACUGCUGUCUGCACUGUCACCUACCCAGGCUGGCUGGUCCUUGCCAUCCUGUCCGUGCUGAGUUCGGCUACCCAGGACUUCAAGCUUGUCAAGUGCUUUGAGGACCCCCAGUAUGAAGAGCUGGUGCAGCUGGCCCGAGACGGGCUGGGGACGACGGCUGAGAGGAAGAGGAUUGUUGUGAUUGGGGCUGGCAUAGCCAGGCUCACCGUGGCCAAGACCCUGCAGGAAGCUGGCCACCAGGUGCACAGCCGGGCUCAGGAGGGUCCCUCUGAGCAGAGGGGGGGGAACUCGGCAGAGGACAGUGCUGGAAAGCAGGGUACAGACCCAGGGGGAGGGCUGGGAGAGCAGGUGGUGGGACCCAGUAGUGGGGCAGACGUGGGAACCGGGGUGUGGGGAUGCGGCUGGCGUGGGCGGGGCCAGGACAGGGCUGUCUUUCCAGGUGACUGUGCUGGAGGCCUCGGGGCGUGUGGGUGGCAGGGUAAAGACCCACAGAGUGCCUGGAGCGCCGUGGCACGUGGAGCUGGGCGCCAUGCGGAUCCCUGUCAGUCACAGGUACGGUGCAGAGCAGGCGGCGGUAGGAAGGCUACCUGGUGGGUGCCCACACCAAGGCCAGAUGACACCAGGAGGGGCAGGCCAGCAGGGGUGGGGAGGGGCUGGGGGCCGUCCCAGAUCAUUCAGAGUUGCAGGCUUCUGUGCUGUCAUCUAUCUAAUGGGCAUGACUGCACUGCCUGCCAGGCAAGGGGCCACAUGCUGGGCACUGCAGAAGGCUACAGCUUGGAGGUCAAGAGCGGCCCGGUCUGCUGGGGCCAUCCCAGAGGGCGGAGUGGGCUCACAGGGUGCAGCCCAGGGACUCGGGAAGGGUGGGGUGGCCUCCAGAGGAUGCACCCCGUGAGCCCCCAUGGCAUCUCUGGGGCUGGAAUGGCUGCACCUGAUGGCCUGGAGGUCACAGGUCCCAGCACAGUGAGACAGCACUAG
rnacentral:lncRNA from 1 species